CUCACCCCGAUGUCGCCCCGCCGCCUCGUCCUCAUCACUGCGCCGUCCUCGACCUCAUCCUCAACCGCGGCUCCUCCGAGCCUCGCCGUUGUUCCCCUGCAGCGGGGGUGAGGCGCCGUAUGUCCUCCUCUUCCCCCUCUGCCCCGAUGCGUCCACCACACCCCGCGCCUCCCCCCAUCGUGGCCACGCGCCAACCGUGCCCGUGUAGCGCCGGCCAUGCCUGACGCGCGCGCCCGCGCACCACGGCCCUUCUCGGCGCCCUCUCUGCGCCCGCGCCCCGUCUCUGUCCCGCGAUCGCGCGUCUGCUGGAGCUUUGCUGCUCGGGCCGCCCCUGCAACUGCCUCCUCCUCCUAGCGCCGCGCCACCUUGCCCUGCAGCCCCGCCCGCCGCGCCGCGCGUGGCCUCCGGCCUGCGCAUCCCUGACAGCGCCACAGCGCCGUUUGGCCUCGCCGGCGGCCGUCCUCUUCGGCCCCGCCCGUGGCCUCUGCUGUCGCCCGACAUCGGCCGCUCCUGCUGUGGCCAAAGCCACGCCCCUGGGUGUGCGCCCAUGUGCGCUGCGCUCGCACCCCAUGGGGCUCCGCCCGAACUCGCGCGCCCGUUAACGCCCCAGGGGCCUAUGACAACGGGCCCCACGCCCCUUUUCCAAAAAAAGGAAAUAAUAAAUGAUAUGAAAAAUAAUUAAUUAACUGAAUAAGCUUUGUUUAAUUAACCUAAUUAAGUUGAUUAGUCUAAUUAUAUCUUAGUUAGCUAAGAGUGUGACAGAUGGGCCACCUUGCUCCUUUUGACCAGUCAACACAACCAGAGUUGACUGUUGACCCUACUGACGUCAUGAUGAUGUCAUGACUGAUGCUAUAACUCUAUUUUCCUUUUAAUUAACUCUGUUAAUUUCAAAAUAUUUGUUUAAACUUUGAAAAAUCAUAGAUAUUAAUCUGUCGCUUGGAUGAAAAAGUUUUAUACAUGAAAAUUGCUUAAAACGAGGAGAGGAAUCCAGAUAUGCGGUCUGUUCGUUUGCCACACAUCCCUAGCAUAGUGAACAUGUAACCUUUUCCCUCCGGUUCAUCUCUCUAACACACGUCCGGAACCGGAAAAACUUUCCCGUAUGUUUUCUUCCUUCGCCAGUAUCGCGUAGCGCUGCAUUAGAACACCCCUAGCACCGCUUAUUGUCAUGUUAUGCGUCUAUGUGCUUUGUAUUUACUGUUUCUUCCACCUAUCCUCUUUGGUAGAUCCCGAGACCGCUGCUGAUGUCACUGUGAUCGACUACGUCGCCAACGGCACUUCUUCCCUUUCAGCAGAGCUUCCAGGCAAGCCCCCCCCCCUUCGAUCAUCCCGAUAUUGCCCAUUCCAUUCUCUCAUGCUUGCAUUAGAUUUUGCUACUGUAAUUGAUUGCUCCUAUUCUGAUGCAUAGCCUGCUUUUGUACCUGCUGUUCUACCUAACCUUUUUAUCCUAAACUGCUUAGUAUAUGUUGGUUAGUUAUCCUUCAGUGACCCCCACCUUGUCCUUGUUGCCCCUGCUUCAUCAUUGACGCCUCAAUCAACGUGAUUGAUGACCAGAGCCCUACACCUCACAUCACAUCACGCUCCUUUUGAUGCUCGACUCUGCGGAGUUACCAUCGAGUGCCGAGGGUGGAACCUCAUACAUCACUCCUGAUGAGAUCUCUAUAGUGUAGCUAUUCGGUGGUGGUCAACGAGGGUGGUUCCUCCUUCACCAUUCCCGAUACGGCUCUGUCGUGCAACACAUCAAGUGUGAACCUCGAGGGUGGUUCCUCUUACGUUCACCUUGAUGAUUACAUCGAGUGGAAUCUAUCGAGGGUGGUUCUUCGGGUUUUUCCCUUGAUAUUUGGACACACGGUUACCUUGACUUACUUGAGACCAUUGUUGAAGUAGGGUCGGCCCUGAGGGGUACCCGCAAGUUGAUGUGAAAGUCGGGUGGGCCCGGAGAGCACCCGCGAGUUAUCCACGUGGCACGAUCGGGCAGUCUAGUCCCUUGUCAUAAGUUCACGAGACCGGGCGACGGGGUCACAUUAUCGUGAGUCUCUACUCGUCUCCGCGAGCCCCCAAUGCACUAACCGGUUUGGCUAUUUGUUCUGAGUUGGCUCUGGCCUUUACGCACUAACCACCACGCGAGAAUAGUUAUGGGCCUCGACGUCGCAGUAUCAGCCAAAGCUUUGUCAGACGUCUAGUUUAGUAGUGUGGCACGGUCGAAUCGUGCUGGCCGUCCGAGGCGGUGCUGGUAUCCAUCCUGCUCGCAACGACCCGGAGUGCUGCGGGCGAUGGGCCCAAGACCCCGGAGUGCUUAGGAUGAAGACCAGUGGGGACCUCUCUGCUGAGCCUAGGUAGGGCUGUGACGUGUUGAUCUUCUGAGGUCGGGCAUUGGCCCAGAAAGGUUUGUCCGGCCAGAGUAAUCAAGUGUGUUGGGUAACGUGGUGGCCCCCUGUAGGGAAGAUAUAUAUUCGAAUACCGUGUCCACGAUAAUGGACGUUCAGACUUAUAUCCUGAUUUUAUAUAACUAGAAAUGGAUGCUUGAGAUAUGUGAUGGAUAUGUGGCUCCGAGAUUGCUUUCUCGCAGAGAGUCGAGGAAGGAUCUCUGGGUGUUGUUGUUACAACAUGCUUGUUAAUUAAACUGCUAUUCUUUACUCUUCUACAUGCUGCAAGAUGCUUGGAGCUGCUUGAAGAUGCUAGUCUUUGUUAGGCUAGGCCUAUCCCUCUAUUCUGGCAUUCUGCAGUUCAGUCCACAGAUACAACCCUUCCAUUUGGUACCAAUGCAUACUUAUUAUAGAUCUGAUGCUUGCGAGUACUUUGGAUGAGUACUCACGGUUGCUUUGCUACCCCUUUUCCCCCUUCUUUCUUCUUUCCAGUUGAUGCAACCAGAUGGUGGAUCCUUGGAGCCAAAUGCCACCACUGACGGAUACUAUUACGUGGAGACCGCCAACGACCAGGAGUAGUUUAGGAGGUCCCAGGCAAGAGGCCUUGCCUCUUUGAUCGUGUUGCUUUUGUGCUAGCCUUCUUAUUUCUAUACUCAGUUAUUGUUGCUUUCGCUAACUCUUGUGUAUCGAGCUUUGUAUUCAAGCCCUCGAGGCCCCUGUCUUGUAAUAUAAAGCUUGUAUUCUUUUAUUUGUGUUUAAAGUUGUGUUGUGAUAUCUUCCCGUGAGUCCCUGAUCUUGAUCAUACACAUUUGCGUGUAUGAUUAGUGUACGAUUGAAUCGGGGGCGUCACACGUGAUUAUCCUGUUAUGAUCUUGAGGGAAUUAAAUAAAAAAGAGAGAAUAAAAAGAAAUAACGAG
rnacentral:lncRNA from 1 species